rnacentral:misc_RNA from 1 species
GAUGAAGAACGUAGCGAAAUGCGAUAAGUAGUGUGAAUUGCAGAAUUCAGUGAAUCAUCGAGUCUUUGAACGCACAUUGCGCCCCUUGGUAUUCCAUGGGGCAUGCUUGUUCGAGCGUCAUUUGUACCCUCAAGCUUUGCUUGGUGUUGGGUGUUUGUCCUUUCCCUGCGUCAGGACUCGCCUCAAAUUCAUUGGCAGCCGAUGUAUUGGUUUGAAGCGCAGCACAAUUUGCGAUUCAGGCUGGUGACCAUGGGCGUCCAGUAAGCACAUUUAACACUUUUGACCUCGGAUCAAGUAGGGAUACCCGCUGAACUUAAGCAUAUCAAUAAGCGGAGGG